GUGGGGAAUAUUGGACAAUGGGCGAAAGCCUGAUCCAGCCAUGCCGCGUGUGUGAAGAAGGUCUUCGGAUUGUAAAGCACUUUAAGUUGGGAGGAAGGGCAGUAAGUUAAUACCUUGCUGUUUUGACGUUACCGACAGAAAAAGCACCGGCUAACUUCGUGCCAGCAGCCGCGGUAAUACGAAGGGUGCAAGCGUUAAUCGGAAUUACUGGGCGUAAAGCGCGCGUAGGUGGUUUUGUAAGUUGGAGGUGAAAUCCCCGGGCUCAACCUGGGAACUGCCUCCAAAACUGCAUGACUAGAGUACGGUAGAGGGUAGUGGAAUUUCCUGUGUAGCGGUGAAAUGCGUAGAUAUAGGAAGGAACACCAGUGGCGAAGGCGACUACCUGGACUGAUACUGACACUGAGGUGCGAAAGCGUGGGGAGCAAACAGGAUUAGAAACCCCAGUAGUCC
rnacentral:rRNA from 1 species